rnacentral:rRNA from 1 species
UACGUAGGUGGCAAGCGUUGUUCGGAAUUAUUGGGCGUAAAGGGCUCGUAGGCGGUUUGUCGCGUCGGGAGUGAAAACACCGGGCUUAACUCGGUGCUGGCCUUCGAUACGGGCAGACUAGAGGUAUGCAGGGGAGAACGGAAUUCCUGGUGUAGCGGUGAAAUGCGCAGAUAUCAGGAGGAACACCGGUGGCGAAGGCGGUUCUCUGGGCAUGUCCUGACGCUGAGGAGCGAAAGUGUGGGGAGCGAACAGG